GGGAGCGUUCUGUAGGCUGAUGAAGGUGCAUUGUAAAGUGUGCUGGAGGUAUCAGAAGUGCGAAUGUUGACAUGAGUAGCGAUAAAGCGGGUGAAAAGCCCGCUCGCCGAAAGCCCAAGGUUUCCUACGCAACGUUCAUCGGCGUAGGGUGAGUCGGCCCCUAAGGCGAGGCAGAAAUGCGUAGUCGAUGGGAAACAGGUUAAUAUUCCUGUACUUGAUUCAAAUGCGAUGUGGGGACGGAGAAGGUUAGGUUGGCAAGCUGUUGGAAUAGCUUGUUUAAGCCGGUAGGUGGAAGACUUAGGCAAAUCCGGGUUUUCUUAACACCGAGAAGUGAUGACGAGUGUCUACGGACACGAAGCAACCGAUACCACGCUUCCAGGAAAAGCCACUAAGCUUCAGUUUGAAUCGAACCGUACCGCAAACCGACACAGGUGGGCAGGAUGAGAAUUCUAAGGCGCUUGAGAGAACUCGGGAGAAGGAACUCGGCAAAUUGAUACCGUAACUUCGGGAGAAGGUAUGCCCUCUAAGGUUAAGGACUUGCUCCGUAAGCCCCGGAGGGUCGCAGAGAAUAGGUGGCUGCGACUGUUUAUUAAAAACACAGCACUCUGCCAACACGAAAGUGGACGUAUAGGGUGUGACGCCUGCCCGGUGCCGGAAGGUUAAUUGAAGAUGUGCAAGCAUCGGAUCGAAGCCCCGGUAAACGGCGGCCGUAACUAUAACGGUCCUAAGGUAGCGAAAUUCCUUGUCGGGUAAGUUCCGACCCGCACGAAUGGCGUAACGAUGGCCACACUGUCUCCUCCCGAGACUCAGCGAAGUUGAAGUGGUUGUGAAGAUGCAAUCUACCCGCUGCUAGACGGAAAGACCCCGUGAACCUUUACUGUAGCUUUGCAUUGGACUUUGAAGUCACUUGUGUAGGAUAGGUGGGAGGCUUGGAAGCAGAGACGCCAGUCUCUGUGGAGUCGUCCUUGAAAUACCACCCUGGUGUCUUUGAGGUUCUAACCCAGACCCGUCAUCCGGGUCGGGGACCGUGCAUGGUAGGCAGUUUGACUGGGGCGGUCUCCUCCCAAAGCGUAACGGAGGAGUUCGAAGGUUACCUAGGUCCGGUCGGAAAUCGGACUGAUAGUGCAAUGGCAAAAGGUAGCUUAACUGCGAGACCGACAAGUCGGGCAGGUGCGAAAGCAGGACAUAGUGAUCCGGUGGUUCUGUAUGGAAGGGCCAUCGCUCAACGGAUAAAAGGUACUCCGGGGAUAACAGGCUGAUUCCGCCCAAGAGUUCAUAUCGACGGCGGAGUUUGGCACCUCGAUGUCGGCUCAUCACAUCCUGGGGCUGUAGUCGGUCCCAAGGGUAUGGCUGUUCGCCAUUUAAAGUGGUACGUGAGCUGGGUUUAAAACGUCGUGAGACAGUUUGGUCCCUAUCUGCAGUGGGCGUUGGAAGUUUGACGGGGGCUGCUCCUAGUACGAGAGGACCGGAGUGGACGAACCUCUGGUGUACCGGUUGUAACGCCAGUUGCAUAGCCGGGUAGCUAAGUUCGGAAGAGAUAAGCGCUGAAAGCAUCUAAGCGCGAAACUCGCCUGAAGAUGAGACUUCCCUUGCGGUUUAACCGCACUAAAGGGUCGUUCGAGACCAGGACGUUGAUAGGUGGGGUGUGGAAGCGCGGUAACGCGUGAAGCUAACCCAUACUAAUUGCCCGUGAGGCUUGACUC
rnacentral:rRNA from 1 species